rnacentral:rRNA from 1 species
GACGAACGCUGGCGGCGUGCUUAACACAUGCAAGUCGAACGAUGACGACCGAGCUUGCUCGGUCUGAUUAGUGGCGAACGGGUGAGUAACACGUGAGCAACCUUCCCUUCACUCUGGGAUAACCUCGGGAAAUCGGGGCUAAUACCGGAUAUGAGCUCCUGUCGCAUGGCGGGUGUUGGAAAGUUUUUCGGUGAAGGAUGGGCUCGAGGCCUAUCUGUUUGUUGGUGUGGUAGUGGCUCACCAAGGCGAUGCCGGGUAGCCGGCCUGAGAGGGCGACCGGCCACACUGGGACUGAGACACGGCCCAGACUCCUACGGGAGGCAGCAGUGGGGAAUAUUGCACAAUGGGCGAAAGCCUGAUGCAGCGACGCCGCGUGAGGGAUGACGGCCUUCGGGUUGUAAACCUCUUUCAGCAGGGAAGAAGCGAAAGUGACGGUACCUGCAGAAGAAGCGCCGGCUAACUACGUG